rnacentral:rRNA from 1 species
UCCGUAGGUGAACCUGCGGAAGAAUCAUUA